AAGCCGUGGCGGGUGCUUACCAUGCAGUCGAACGGUGAAGCCAAGCUUGCUUGGUGGAUCAGUGGCGAACGGGUGAGUAACACGUGAGCAACCUGCCCUGGACUCUGGGAUAAGCGCUGGAAACGGCGUCUAAUACUGGAUAUGAGCUCCUUCCGCAUGGUGGGGGUUGGAAAGAUUUUUCGGUCUGGGAUGGGCUCGCGGCCUAUCAGCUUGUUGGUGAGGUAAUGGCUCACCAAGGCGUCGACGGGUAGCCGGCCUGAGAGGGUGACCGGCCACACUGGGACUGAGACACGGCCCAGACUCCUACGGGAGGCAGCAGUGGGGAAUAUUGCACAAUGGGCGGAAGCCUGAUGCAGCAACGCCGCGUGAGGGAUGACGGCCUUCGGGUUGUAAACCUCUUUUAGCAGGGAAGAAGCGAGAGUGACGGUACCUGCAGAAAAAGCGCCGGCUAACUACGUGCCAGCAGCCGCGGUAAUACGUAGGGCGCAAGCGUUAUCCGGAAUUAUUGGGCGUAAAGAGCUCGUAGGCGGUUUGUCGCGUCUGCUGUGAAAUCCCGAGGCUCAACCUCGGGCCUGCAGUGGGUACGGGCAGACUAGAGUGCGGUAGGGGAGAUUGGAAUUCCUGGUGUAGCGGUGGAAUGCGCAGAUAUCAGGAGGAACACCGAUGGCGAAGGCAGAUCUCUGGGCCGUAACUGACGCUGAGGAGCGAAAGGGUGGGGAGCAAACAGGCUUAGAUACCCUGGUAGUCCACCCCGUAAACGUUGGGAACUAGUUGUGGGGACCAUUCCACGGUUUCCGUGACGCAGCUAACGCAUUAAGUUCCCCGCCUGGGGAGUACGGCCGCAAGGCUAAAACUCAAAGGAAUUGACGGGGACCCGCACAAGCGGCGGAGCAUGCGGAUUAAUUCGAUGCAACGCGAAGAACCUUACCAAGGCUUGACAUACACCAGAACACCGUAGAAAUACGGGACUCUUUGGACACUGGUGAACAGGUGGUGCAUGGUUGUCGUCAGCUCGUGUCGUGAGAUGUUGGGUUAAGUCCCGCAACGAGCGCAACCCUCGUUCUAUGUUGCCAGCACGUAAUGGUGGGAACUCAUGGGAUACUGCCGGGGUCAACUCGGAGGAAGGUGGGGAUGACGUCAAAUCAUCAUGCCCCUUAUGUCUUGGGCUUCACGCAUGCUACAAUGGCCGGUACAAAGGGCUGCAAUACCGUGAGGUGGAGCGAAUCCCAAAAAGCCGGUCCCAGUUCGGAUUGAGGUCUGCAACUCGACCUCAUGAAGUCGGAGUCGCUAGUAAUCGCAGAUCAGCAACGCUGCGGUGAAUACGUUCCCGGGUCUUGUACACACCGCCCGUCAAGUCAUGAAAGUCGGUAACACCUGAAGCCGGUGGCCCAACCCUUGUGGAGGGAGCCGUCGAAGUGAUCCU
rnacentral:rRNA from 1 species